rfam:Camelus ferus unplaced genomic scaffold scaffold331, whole genome shotgun sequence.
GGAGUGUACAGCUCAGUGGUAGAAUAUGUGCUUAGCAUGCACGAGGUCCUGGGUUCAAUCCUCAGUGCCUCCA